GAACUCUUGUAAGCUAUUUAAGCUAUUAAGUUCAUACCUUAAAAAAGGAUACGUCCCGUGAGUUUUUGUUUUCUCUUAAACACAGCCGAUAGCAUAAAACCAUGGAAACACUUUCCAGAUUUGAAAGUUCUGUGUGACUGAGGGAUUUGUAUAGCGAGGAUAAAUGCGUGCCAGCAACCGCGGAUACACGCAUUCCGCAUGCUGAAAUAAAUGAAAUGUACACCCCACAAGCAUGAUAAAAUUAAAUAUGCUAACCUAAACUGGCGGAGUGAAGGAGGCUAGAUAGCUCCGUAACGCAGUCAAACCGUGUUGAGCAGUUAAAAACUUAGAAAACCUGGCAGAAGCAUACUAAAAAGGCUCUUUGAAGUAUAGAUAACCCGCUAUGUUGCUAAAGACCACAAAUAGUGUAUUGCUGGCUCUGCACUCCUACCGGAGGGCGGACUCCCCAAGCCUUAAUGCUUUCUCUUAGUGUUAGUUUGAGAGACCUGGAUUUUUAAGUAAUAAUUUUGUAUAGAAUAAUAUAAGCUUUGUACAUAUUGCCCGUCACCUCGCCUAAUCAUAGGUGAGAAAGUCGACACAUAGUAGGUGUAGUGGAAAUUGUACCUGGGGGGGGGUUGGUGUACCGACAGAUGGAGGAGAGUUAGG
rnacentral:rRNA from 1 species